rnacentral:lncRNA from 1 species
GCAGACGUGGAACCUCGCGGUGCUUCCUGAGUCUACACUGAGUCUCGAGUGGGCGGUGACUGGGCAGCCGGUCCCAAGAUCUUUUCGAGGCUCAAAGUCCCCUCAACUCCUUCGUGUCCGAGUCCGAGCUCUGUCUUGUAUCCGAGAUCUAGUGGGACGUGAGGUAGUUGCACGCCAUUACCUCAGCGCCAGCCGCCUUGCAGCUCCGGAGACCAAGCGGUGAGGCUAAAGAGGCCGAUGCACCUGGCCCUUCCAAGCAGUCCCCCUCACCCUCCAGCCAGAGGACGUCUAGGAGCCUGAAGCCAGCCGAGUUACCCAGGGGACAAGGCUGUGUCCUGAAGGCCGGUGUUGCUGAGGCUCUGCCCUUCGGAAGCUGUGGAACUGACAACUUUGAAGCCCUGAGAGGAUCUGCAAAAUUCUGAUUUAGGACCCAGGAGGCCUUGAACUUGCUCAGAGUUAUAUGCUGUGGACAGUACAUCCUAGAGAAUUUGGUGCUUGCUGUUUUUAGAGGGCUAUUUUCUCCUGGGCCAGCCCCCAGCUAAAACAGGAAGUGAGGAUUUUAAGAGAUGAUCCUAGGAGCUUGAAAUUUAAGCUGACCUCCUCUGUCAUUAGCCACAAAGCUUUAGCCUAAAGUGGUGGCGCAUGUCUUUAAUCCCAGCACUUGAGAGGCAGGUGGAUCUUUGUGAGUUCUGGCCAGCCUGGUCUACAGAUCGGGUUUGUACUGGCUAGUUUUGUGUCAACUUGAGUUGACACAGUCUGGAGUCUGGUGUGGUAGUCUUGGUUCUAUAAGAAAGCAGGCUGAGGGCUGGUGAGAUGGCUCAGUGGGUAAGAGCACCCGACUGCUCUUCCGAAGGUCAGGAGUUCAAAUCCCAGCAACCACAUGGUGGCUCACAACCAUCCGUAACAGGAUCUGACGCCCUCUUCUGUAGUGUCUGAAGACAGCUACAGUGUACUUACAUAUAAUGAAUAAAUAAAUCUUUGAAAAAAAAAAAAGCCAGGGGAAGCAAGCCAGUAAUGAACAUCCCUCCAUGGCCUCUGCAUCAGCUCCUGCUUUCUGACCUGCUUGACUCCCAGUCCUGACUUCCUUUGGUGAUGAACAGCAGUGUGGAAGAGUAAGCCGAAUAAACCCUUUCGUGGCCAUGAGGUUUGUGCAGAAAUAGAAACCCUGACUAAGACAGGGUUCCAGGACAGAGAAGCUCUUAUCUCAAAAAACCAAAACAAAUCAAAAGACAAUGAAGCUCUGCUAUUUUCCUCCACUUCAGUAUGAGGGGAAUCACCGCUCCUCCUGCCCCCAGUGAGAUGGAAAUGGCAGCUAUAGGAUACUAUAAUAUAUAUAUAUAUAUAUAUACAGGGGCAAUACUGUGGAUACCGUAAUAUGAUGUAUAUAUACAGGGGUAAUACUGUGGAUACCGUAAUAUAAUAUACAGGGGUAAUACUGUGGAUACCAUAAUAUGAUAUAUAUACAGGGGUAA